rnacentral:rRNA from 1 species
CUCUUGAACACCUAAAAAUAAGAGGUCCCGCCUGCCCAGUGACGACAAGUUCAACGGCCGCGGUAUUCUGACCGUGCAAAGGUAGCGCAAUCAAUUGUCUUUUAAAUGAAGACCUGUAUGAAUGGCAUAACGAAGGCUUAACUGUCUCCUUUUCCAAGUCAAUGAAAUUGAUCUUCCCGUGCAGAAGCGGGAAUAGUAACAU